UACGGAGGAUCCGAGCGUUAUCCGGAUUUAUUGGGUUUAAAGGGUGCGCAGGCGGGAGAUUAAGUCGGCGGUGAAAUUUUGCAGCUCAACUGUAAAAGUGCCUUCGAAACUGGUUUCCUUGAGUGUAGAUGAAGUAGGCGGAAUUUGUGGUGUAGCGGUGAAAUGCAUAGAUAUCACGAGGAACUCCGAUCGCGCAGGCAGCUUACUAAACUACUACUGACGCUCAGGCACGAAAGCGUGGGGAUCGAACAGGAUUAGAUACCCUGGUA
rnacentral:rRNA from 1 species